CUAAGUCUUUAUCCUUGCUUCAAUCCGUCGGUUUCUUUAAGCCAAGGAAAUUUUUUUUUUCUCACUUCCUCGAGCCGACGCCUACUCUCAUUUUCUCUCCUUCUUCCUUCAUCUUCAAAUUCAAGAGAAAAUCAAGAUUUCUUUCCAUUAUUCAAACCGUGUGAUUCCCAAAAGGAAGAAAGAAAUUUAUUUUCUCCAAACUGUACCAUAUAUCUCUUUUCCAUACCAUUUUGAGUUUUGCUCAUAGUUGGGAUUUCCAAGUUGCUUUCAUCUUCCCAAAAGUGAAGAAGUUGGGGGACUCAUAUUGACAAUUGGAAGUAUUGAGAAGCAUAGAGGUAAAUAGCUAUCACCAUGCUUCUUACACACAAAGCUCUCUUAUGAAAGAAUGUCUCUCUCUCUCUCUCUCUCUCUCUCUUCAAAUGUUUUUGUAAAGAAAUUGUAAAUGUAUAUACUAUGUACAAGCCUUUCUUGGUAGCCCCUAUUAAGCACCCUAUCGAUUAUGAUUGUUUGUAUGUGUAUAAGGUAAUGUAUGCACGUAGAUGCUAAGUCAUAAGAUUUUCAUACAUGCUCUCUCAAUGUAUUAACAUCUUAUUUAUACAUAGCACAACAUGAAAUGUUCUUUUUAAAAAAUAAAUGCAUAUGCAUCGGACUAAAAAAAGGUAAUGAAAAUUUUUAACUACCUGAAAAUCUGUUUAUGGAGGAAUGUUAAAUAGAAUGUCUACCAGGUGUUCCCUUUAUUAAAUUAAAAAUUUAGAGUAUACGCGUGUCAUGUUCAUGCUGAUGUCAUAUUACUACAACAACAACAACAACAAAAAAGAAGAAGAAGAAGAAGAAGAAGAAAGGACAAGUAUGUACGUAGCGAUUCCACCCUACUCAAGGCGGGGUUAUUACACUGCCCCUGCAACUUGAAAUGUCAUUGGUUGAUCAAAAUGGGUACAUAGGAUAAAAAGGAAAGCUAAUAGUGAGGUUGAACUCUAUAAGGAAAGUUUUGUUUCCAAGGGAUAUCUCCAUCAAUUUGGUAUUGAUUACUCCAAAACCUACAGUUCGAUUAUCAAACCAACAAUGGAGAUAACAAUUAUCUCCACUAUUGUGUCUUCAGGUUGGUCAAUUAGACAAAUUGAUGUGUGUAAUGCCUUUUUGCAUGGUACACUAUUAGAGGAGGUUUUCAUGACUCAAACUUCUGGUUAUCUUCAUCCACACUUUCCAAAUCACACUUGCAAGCUACAUAAAGCAUUGUAUGGACCAAAACAGUCCCCAAGCCUGAUUUUCCCAUAUAAGCAUUCCUUUAUUGGAGUUGGGCUUUCAUGGCUUACGUCCAAAUACUUCUAGAUUUAUUCACAACUCUACUAAGUUCAAUAUGUAUUUACUAAUCUAUCUCGAAGAUAUACUGAUUACCUGCUCAUACAAGCAUGUCGUUGAUGACUUAUUGAAUACUCUGUAUUAUGAUUUUGAAAUCAAGGACUUGGAUAGUUUGAAUUUUUUUCUGGGUCUCGAGGCACUCAACUCCAACGGCCAAAUCCUAUUAUUCCAUCAAUGCUAGUAUAUCAUGGAUAUUCUAAAAAAUACCAAAAUGCAUGAGGCCAAGCUAAUUGUUACUCCAAUGGCUAGUUCCAUCAAUCUAAGUGCCUUUGAUGGUGAGGGUUUAAGUGACACUACUCUAUUUCGUAUUACUAUUGGGGCCUUACAAUGUGUAUUAGUAACUAUCUCAUAUAUUGCUUUCACAUUCAAAAAAUUAUCUCAAUUCAUGCACAAACCAAAAUUGUCACAUUGGUAGACGACAAAGCAUCUUCUUCGAUGUUUAAAAUAGACAGUUAGCUAUGGUCUCUAGAUUUGAAAUCCAUAAAUACUAUUCUACAAGCAUUUUCGGAUGUCGACUGGGCGAACUCCCAUGAUGAUAGAUGAUCAACUAGAGGAUUUUGUAUGUUAUUAGGAUAGAAUUCAAUUUUAGGUAACUUCAAAAGGCAGGCUACAGUGGCUUGGCUGAGCACCAAGGUUGGGUAUAAGGCGUUGGCCAAUAUAAUAGCUGAAAUUCAUUGGCUUCAAUCCUUACUCUAGGAACUUGGUAUUAAACUCUCACAAUCCCCUAUCUUAUGGUGUGACAACAUAAGAGCAUGCAACGUAUUUGUUAGCAAAUCUAGUUUUCCAGGCUCAUAAAAAGCAUGUAUAAAUUGAUUUUUUCUUUGUCAAGGACAUGGUUGCCAAGAAACUCAUUGAGACCAAGUUUCUGUCUCUUAGCAGAUAUCUAAACAUAACCCCCCCCCCUCCCCCCGGGGGUGAGAUGUUAAGGAUAAAGAAUCCAAUCGUGACAAGUCAUCCAAGUUAAGAAGAUAUGCUCAAUUAGACUUUAUUAUUUUUUCCACUAGUGUUUCCAUUGUAACAGACUCUUAAUAGAACUCCAUAAACUUCCUAUAUAUAUAUAUAUAUAUAUAUUUUUAUGGAAAUAAACUUCCUAUAUUAAUAACA